rnacentral:rRNA from 1 species
UACGUAGGGGCAAGCGUUGUCCGGAUUUAUUGGGCGUAAAGAGCGUGUAGGCGGUUAGGUAGGUCCGUUGUGAAAACUCGAGGCUCAACCUCGAGACGCCGAUGGAAACCAUCUGACUAGAGUCCGGAAGAGGAGAGUGGAAUUCCGUGGUGUAGCGGUGAAAUGCGCAGGAUAAUCAGGAAGAACACCCGUGGCAAGGCGGCAUCCUCGU